GAUGAAGAACGUAGCGAAAUGCGAUAAGUAAUGUGAAUUGCAGAAUUCAGUGAAUCAUCGAAUCUUUGAACGCACAUUGCGCCCGCCAGUAUUCUGGCGGGCAUGCCUGUUCGAGCGUCAUUUCAACCCUCAAGACCCCUUCGGGGGACUUGGUGUUGGGGACCGGCACAGGGGCCUGCCUGCUUGUCUUGCAGCGCCCUCGUCGCCCCCGAAAUGAAUUGGCGGCCUCGUCGCGGCCUCCCCUGCGUAGUAGCACAAACCUCGCAACGGGAACGUGACGGCGGCCACUGCCGUAAAACAACCCAAUUUUAUUAGAGUUGACCUCGAAUCAGGUAGGAAUACCCGCUGAACUUAAGCAUAUCAAUAAGCGGAGGA
rnacentral:misc_RNA from 1 species